GGCAGAGGAGAGGGGGAGGAGGGAAAAGGCAGGUCUGAUCAUUUGUAUGAUUAUUGAGUUGAAUUGGAUUUACUCCUAUGCAAUCAUGAUUAGGAUAGGUAAAACUGACCAGGCUAGGCCUGGCAACCAAGACGUCUUCUGUAUCUUUCAAAGUUGGGCAGGGGGAAGGCAGAAUUCUACCUUGUGGUUUUUUCCAUUACAAUGUUGCAAGAACACCUGCACUUGGCUGACUUUCUCUUCUCCUAAAGAUACAGGAUCAGUCUCAGGACCUGAACCUGGCAACCCUACCUCCCACCCAAAUUUAAAACAAAGCUGUCCCUGGCCACAUCCACACCAGGCCUCUAUUACACUUUGGACAAUCAUUAUUUAUUUAUUUAGUGUAUUUAUAUACCGCCCCAUAGCCGAAGCUCUCUGGACAGUUUACAAUAACUAAAAACAUUAAAAACAAAUAUACAAAUUUAAAAACACAUCUUUUAAAAACAAUUUAAAAGAAUUUAUCAUGGCUUCUCUCAAAGCUAUGGCUCAAAGCCAAUCAUGGCUUCUCUCAAAGAAUCCUGGGAAGUGUAGUUAGUGAAGGGUGCUGAAAGUUGCUUGGAGACACCCUGUUCCUCUCACAGACCUUCAAUCAGAGUGGCUGACUGUUAACCAUUCUCUCAGGGGAAUAGGAGUCUCCUCUCAGCACCCUUCACAAACUACACUUCCCAGGAAUCUUUGAGGGAAGCCAUGACUGUCUCAAGUGAAAUCAAGUCUGGUGUGGGUGUGGCCCUCUGAUUAGCCAAGCCCAGCAGCUGUGAGGCUUUUAGAACACUGACAGUUGGUCCUUACUGAGCAUGCCCCGCGUUAUAAUAGGCUUCCAGCCAAAAGUUCUUAAAUUAAUUAAAAAUCAACCAGGCAUUUUUUUAACUUUUAAACUGCAGUAGAUGAAGGUCAGAGUAUGGGGCAAGGUCAGUAUUAGGAUUACAGGUACUCUGUGAACAUGGCUGAUUUUUAAUGAAUUUCAACAGAUUAUGAGAACUCUGGCAGAAAAAAGUCCAAAAGGGCUCUGAGGUUUUUCUCUCUCUUUUUAGACUUUGAACUCUCGAUUCUCUCUGACUGUUUUGUGUAUCGCCAUGAAAAUUGACGGGGUUGUUAAGCAAGCGUUUCUGAGUUUUGUAUAAGUUUUGUAAGGUUUUGUUUUGAAAUGAGCUUAUGGGAAUCAUCAGAAUGGCAUGCGGGGGUAUUUUCCAUUUAACAUUGCGGAAUGUGAAAAAUCCAUGCUGGCUAUGGUAUACAGCCACUCUCAUGGCUGUAUAAUGUUAUGAACAAUUGUUCAAGAGGUCUCAGUUGGCUGGCCUAUGGGGAGCCUGUUGGCUGGAGAGAGCGCUUUCCGGCUGGCUUGUGGACAUGGCUGACGGAGCUGACAUUCAACCAGACCUGUGGCUCCCAAGUGGGAAGAGGACCCCACAGUGUUUUCCGCCAGCUCCUCUUCUGCCAGCCCGUCCUCCACCGGCUGCCUCGCACUUGGAUUGCUCCGUUAAUAAACUAAAAUGCAUAUGAACAUCA